rnacentral:rRNA from 1 species
GGGGGGUGCAAGCGUUGUCCGGAAUCAUUGGGCGUAAAGCGUUCGUAGGCGGCACGUCAAGUUUGGUGUCAAAGCCCGGGGCUCAACUCCGGUUCGGCAUUGGAUACUGGCGAGCUAGAAUGCGGUAGAGGUGAAGGGAAUUCCUGGUGUAGCGGUGAAAUGCGUAGAUAUCAGGAGGAACACCGGUGGCGAAAGCGCUUCACUGGGCCGUUAUUGACGCUGAGGAACGAAAGCUAGGGUAGCAAACGGGAUUAGAUACCCCGGUAGUCCUAGCUGUAAACGAUGGAUACUAGGUGUUGUGGGUAUCGACCCCCGCAGUGCCGUAGCUAACGUGAUAAGUAUCCCGCCUGGGGAGUACGCACGCAAGUGUGAAACUCA